AAAAACGUUUCUUCAUGGACUGGAAAACACGGUGAAAUUAUAUUUUGGCGCUCCCACAAACAUAAACACUACCCUCAGCUUGUUUAUACUUAUGGUAGGCAUUGUGAAAGCACUCGGGAAUGGCUACAUGCGCACAAAGCAACAAGCUCUCUUUUCCAAACUUUCGCAAUUUGGAUGCUACUGUAUUAACUCGCGUCGUCGCGGCUGUGAACUUUUCUCUUUGCUCAUUUGACAGCAGUUUUCAAGGAAACGGUAAAUGGUGUCAACUUGAAAACAACGGUACAAAAUUACUCUAUUUUUUCUCUACCCACUCGGCAAGGUUAUUCUAACCUAUUGAAAAAGCAUUAAAAAAGAAGUCAUGAAGUUCUCAAAGAUCUUAAACUGUUGAAAUUUAUUUCGAGAAAUAAGUAUGAGUUCGAAGUUCAGAAUGCCUUUGGACUAGACAAGUGUGAAUUCCGUUCAAUGGUGACGUGGGAUUUUAGUAUUUUUGGUAAAUCUAGAUACAUGACCAGAAUAGAUCAAUUGGGAUCGAAUCCGUUGGCAGAUUCGGUUCAAGCAUCUGAAUGGCGUAGGACACAAUGCUAUGUUCUUGAUUAAAGUUGGGAGGAGUUUUCUAUUCAACAAUACAUACUUAUAACUGAGGUUCUUUAGACCAGAGAAAUGGUUAAUAUACACGUGUGAAACAAUGCUUUCCGAAUACCAGGAUGACAUGCAACGUUUUGCUACUAGCGAUGAGUUUUGGAUCUAUGCUUACGACCCGGAAACAGAUGAAACGGCCGAAUAUCACGGCAAAGUUUUUUCGAUUAUGAAGGUGUGGUGUACUCCGUGUUCUUUUCGAGCGGCCAAACUGUCAACAAAGAAUACAAAGCCAUUCAGCUAACUCAAACAACAGCUCCGGGAAAACCGUUUUGAGUUGAUUGAAGACAUUAAAUGUGAAUCGCUAUGCGCUUUGAAGGCCAUUCCUAAAAAAAUUACUUUAAGAACUGUUUGGAGGAUUGAAGAAAACGUUGGCACAGGUGUAUUAAGACCAAGGAAGAUUACUUUGAGGAGAGACAUACAUAUAUUGUAGUGAAAAAAUUAAGAAUUUAAAAAUUAGAUCACAGUACUAUUUUUAGGUCAUAGUGGCACAAGGUGCUUUCCAAAGUAAACAGGAAUCUAGCGCCCUCUGGUGGCGCCGUCUGUAUGUCGACUGGUGCGUUAGAAUCUGCUAUCAAUUGCGAAGGACGAUUAUUUAAACAAAAAUCACAUUUUAACCAUUAACCACUCCCCGUAUUCACCUGAUAUGGCACCGAGCGACUUGUUCCUUUUCGGCAAAAUGCAUUUGCCCAUGAAAGGAAAGCGUUAUGCAGACGCAGGGGCUCUUCAAAGAGCUUGCACUGGCGGCCAUACCGGCCAACAAGCUGAAACACUCGUUCGGAAGCAGAAGGAGACUAUUUGAAUAAAAUAAAUUUAUUUUGCCGAAAAAACCGUUUGUUCUGUUUUUACUUAAGAACGCUCUUUGUAUAUAACGGUUGAUUAAAAAACCGAAGUUUUUUUCGCUUGGUACUCGGAGAAAUAGGUUCUAAGACAUCUCUAUAAAAAUUAGCUCUUAAUUGUAACAUGAAUGUUGUUCACCUUAUAGUUUUCUAUUUUCUUAUUAUCACAUAAAAAAUGCAAAUCUCGAUUGCAACAGCUUGAAAAAAUAUCUUGCUUCAUGUUUAGGAUAUUGAAUGCUCAACAGAAGAUAUAACCGGUGAAGUUUCAUUAUUUUAAGCCACAUUUUUUUUAUACAUUUUUUAACUAAAUGAAUAAUAAUAAAAAAAUAUCAUUUCAAAUUGUUACACGCCAGUGUUCUAGAGAAAUUACUUUUUUUUGACCCAUCUAACGUUUAUAUGUUUAUAGGGUAAAUAUACCGAAAACCAGAACUAUUGUAUUUCAUAUCGAUUAAACAAUAAAUUAAGCCAAAAAGAAGUUUAAUCAACGAUCCGAUAAAGAAAAUGUUUUUCCUUCAAAAUCAAAAUCCAAUGAAUUACAUAUCUCUUCUUAAGUAGUAACAAUCCACGCACCUCCAUAUUUAUGUAUGUAUAGCACAGUUAUGUUCACAAAAAGCAGUGCUAACUUAUGGGUGAGAAAAGUGCUUUCGCUUUUCCAAAAUUUAUUCAAAUUGUACAAGUAUUAUG